rnacentral:rRNA from 1 species
UAGUAGCGGCGAGUGAAGCGGCAAAAGCUCAAAUUUGAAAUCUGGCACCUUCGGUGUCCGAGUUGUAAUUUGAAGAUUGUAACCUUGGGGUUGGCUCUUGUCUAUGUUUCUUGGAACAGGACGUCACAGAGGGUGAGAAUCCCGUGCGAUGAGAUGCCCAAUCCUAUGUAAGGUGCUUUCGAAGAGUCGAGUUGUUUGGGAAUGCAGCUCUAAGUGGGUGGUAAAUUCCAUCUAAAGCUAAAUAUUGGCGAGAGACCGAUAGCGAACAAGUACAGUGAUGGAAAGAUGAAAAGAACUUUGAAAAGAGAGUGAAAAAGUACGUGAAAUUGUUGAAAGGGAAGGGUUUGAGAUCAGACUCGAUAUUUUGUGAGCCUUGCCUUCGUGGCGGGGUGACCCGCAGCUUAUCGGGCCAGCAUCGGUUUGGGCGGUAGGAUAAUGGCGUAGGAAUGUGACUUUGCUUCGGUGAAGUGUUAUAGCCUGCGUUGAUGCUGCCUGCCUAGACCGAGGACUGCGAUUUUAUCAAGGAUGCUGGCAUAAUGAUCCCAAACCGCCCGUCUUGAAACACGG